UGACAUUUUGUCUUUUACCACCC
rnacentral:piRNA from 1 species